AUUGCAAACUGCACAUUUGACAGAUCGUGCUCCAUAUUGGUACAUCAACAGCAUCUGACAGUUCCCGCAAUUGACGUGUGCCACUUGGUUUGCUGUCACACAUACAUUUGAUGCUUAAAAACAAAUGGAUAGCCGAAAGGGUUAGAUAGGCUGAGAAAGGAAAAAGCACGAGGUAUACCUGGAGGUGGCACAGCUGUGACAGCAUUGCAAACGGCACAACAUACGGAGGUUGCUCCGACUGGAUAGAGUAAAAGGUUUCGGCAUCCUGAACACACUAGCUGGCUUUGUGCACCUGAUGAUCAAAAUUGCCUGAUGAGUUCUUGGUUGUUGAGACUACCCGGUUGAAUGGUAAACUCUAUUUGGGUUGCGAAGAAGAAAGGAGAAAGGAAAUCGAAACUUCAAUCUUAUGCCGGUAUGAUCUCCAAGUAGUGACUAAAACAAGUACAGAAUUGAGUAAUUUACCAUUUGCAGCAGGUGGUGUAACCGGUACGGUAGGCGUCGGAUACGGAGCAAGAGGAACUGGCAUUGCGACUCUCACAGAGGUAAUCUCUCUUCAAAGAUCUUAAAAUCC